AGCUGGAAGGCUAUUCCAUGCAUCCACUACCCUCUCAGUAAAGUAAUACUUCCUGAUAUUAUUUUUAAACCUUUGUCCCUCUAAUUUAAGACUAUGUCCUCUUGUUGUGGGACAUAGGGGAAUCAGGGUUCCAUUCCAUACAGGGACCCUGAGAAACAGCUACCACAUGCAAGGAAGGCAGCAGGCGCACAAAUGACCCACCCCUGAUGCGGGAAGGUAGUGACAACAUAUAACAAUACAGGACUCUUUAAAGGCCCUGUAAUAGUAAUGAGUCCACUUGAAACCCUUUAACCUUUAACUAUCGCCUGCUGCUGCUUGCACAGUCUCAU